UCCAAUGUUGGUGAACAAGUCAAUACAUUUAUAAAUAAUAAUCAUCUAGCUAGCAACUAGAUACAUAUUUAGUUAUUGCUAACUGCUAUAUUUAGAGUCUCUCUGUUUUUCUAUUGUUGAGAAAACGAAAUAUAAUGUAAAGAGUACACUCAUAUAUAUGGUAUGAAUAUUGUUGGGGUUGUGUCGGCAUACAAAUUGCCUGCGAGAGGGAGACAGCCAGACCCAGCUCUUCUAAUUAUGAAACAGAAUAAUUCAGAUGAUCGAAGAAGAACAUGUAAUUGGUCGAGUUGUGUGGGUUCUUCAUCGAUCCUUUAACAAACAUAUAAUUACGUACACCAUUCAUUUAUGUUUUGAGAUUGUUGAGAAAUGGGAGAUAUCUCUUUUUGCGUCAUUAUGCAACUGUCUAUUUGUUUGUUUCCUAAUAAGCUGAGCUAGUGACCAAAAAUCAGAGUCAGUCAGAUGGAAUUCAUGACUACAUCAUGUAUGAGACACGAAGGGAGAAAAGAAAAGAAAAACAAUCUAACUGGAAAAUCUGAGACACGAGAUACAUCCUAAUUCGGCCGGGUUGCUGCAAAUUAAGGAUCCGAGAAGAAAACGUAAAUUAAGAUGGAAGUAUAUAUAGAUUCCAUUUCCUUUAAUUAGUAUCCCCAUUAAUUGUGACGUAUAUAACAGUUUUAGAAUGAAUUAAGCAUUGAAUUAAGGGAAAAAGACCAUUUGCACAAAAUAGAAAAAGUCAAACCCUAUUUCAAUGAUAAUCUUUUUUAUUAGCCUAUUUGAAUACAAGGUACUUAUUUUAAGCCCAAAUACACAAAUCUUUAUUAAAAUAUAAUAAAAUUAUAUUUUUAAAGACUUAUUUACCCUUACCUUUUACUUAAAGAGAAAAAGUGAAAAAGAUGGAGGGAAGACUUUGCCGGAAGCACACCGGGCUCCCGUGCUAGUCACCGGCGGCCGCAUUCCGGUUGUUGGACUCCGAACUCCGGCCGCUGAAAUCCGGUCACCGGUGACCCGAAUUUUCCGAAGGUCGGAAAAUUGCCGGCAUCCGGUGGCUGGAAUUUUCCGGAAAUCUCACUGCAUUUUUUUAAAUGCCACCGAAUUUACAUGAUCUUAACCCAAGUUCAAAUUUUUUUUUUACUACCCCUAGUAAACUUUUACUGGGGGUAGUAAACUCAAAAUAAAGUUUCUCCAUGACCAUUAUACACCUUAAAACAGUGAAAAAUCAACUUAGAUGCAGAAAAAUAAAAUUUAAUACCCCUAGUAAACUUCUGCUGGGGGUAGUAAACUUACAAUAUAGUUUUUCUAUGACCAUUAUAUACCUUAAAUGAGAGAAAAAAUCAACAUAUAUGCAAAAAAAUAAAGUUUACCACCCCUAGUAAUAUCUUACUAGGGGUAGUAAUCUUGCAAAAUAAUAUCUCCAAGGCUAUAAGUACACAUUAAAACGGAGAAAAAUCAACUUAGAUGCGAAAAAAUAAAUUUACUACCCCUAGUAAACUUUUACUGGGGUAGUAAACUUGCAAAACAGUAUUUUCAAGAUCAUAAUACACACUAAAACAGAGGAAGAACAAUUUAGAUUCGAAAAACUAAAGUUUACUACCCCCAGUAAACUUUUAUUAGGGGUAGUAAACUUGCAAAAAAAUAUUUUCAAUGUCAUAAUACACACUAAAACAGAGGAAGAACAACCUAGAUGCGUAAAAAAUAAAGUUUAUUACCCCUAGUAAACUUAUAAUAGGGGUAGUAAGCUUGCAAAACAAUAUCUCCAAGGCCAUAAGUACACAUUAAAACGGAGAAAAAUCAACUUAGAUGCAAAAAAUAAAAU
rnacentral:lncRNA from 1 species